GACGAACGCUGGCGGCGUGCUUAACACAUGCAAGUCGAACGAAGAGCGACGGAAGCUUGCUUCUAUCAAUCUUAGUGGCGAACGGGUGAGUAACGCGUAAUCAACCUGCCCUUCAGAGGGGGACAACAGUUGGAAACGACUGCUAAUACCGCAUACGAUCUAAUCUCGGCAUCGAGGAUAGAUGAAAGGUGGCCUCUACAUGUAAGCUAUCACUGAAGGAGGGGAUUGCGUCUGAUUAGCUAGUUGGAGGGGUAACGGCCCACCAAGGCGAUGAUCAGUAGCCGGUCUGAGAGGAUGAACGGCCACAUUGGGACUGAGACACGGCCCAGACUCCUACGGGAGGCAGCAGUGGGGAAUCUUCCGCAAUGGACGAAAGUCUGACGGAGCAACGCCGCGUGAGUGAUGACGGCCCUUUCGGGUUGUAAAAGCUCUG
rnacentral:rRNA from 1 species